rnacentral:rRNA from 1 species
UACAGAGGUCUCAAGCGUUGUUCGGAAUCACUGGGCGUAAAGGGUGCGUAGGCCGCACGGUAAGUCAGAGGUGAAAAUCCCGGAGCUCAACUUCGGAAUUGCCUCCGAUACUGCCGUGCUUGAGGACUGGAGAGGAGAUUGGAAUUCACAGUGGAGCAGUGAAAUGCGUAGAUAUUGUGAGGAACACUAGUGGCGAAGGCGAAUCUCUGGACAGUUCCUGACGGCUGAGGCACGAAGGCCAGGGGGAGCAAACGGGG